UUCUUGAUUGAUACCGAUUUGUGACUUAAUGAUUGAAGCUUUGGUUGUUAACAUGUCUUAAAACAUACUUGGUGGUGGAUUUCCAAGUCUCUAACAUCUCAUUCAUCUGAUCUUUCUGCUUUAUUUUGUUUCUUUGUGUUCUCUUGUUUAUAAUCACAAAACCCUAUAUCUCUAGUACUAUAAUAUUUUAUUUUCUCUUGUUUUGUAAUUAACGUAAUUGUAAAUGUACCCUCAAUCCCCGGCUUUUAUAACGAUAUCCUUAUUUGCUAUAUACUACAAUUGACACAAAAGGGUUUUUAAUUGAAACGCCCAGUUUUGGUCGCUAUCACCUUCCUACACGGCAGUAUCACGUCUCUCGUCCACACGGUAGUAACACGUCUCUCGUCGACAUGGCAAUAGCACGUCUCUCGUCCAGACGGCAGUAGCACGUCUCCGGUCGACACAGUAGACACAAUAGUAGUACGUCUCAUGUUGACAGCACAGUAGCAUGUCUCUUAUCGACACUGUGGUAGAACGUCUCUGGUCGACACGGCAGUACCACAUCUCAUGUUGACACGGCAGUAACAUGUCUCUCGUCGACACGGCAGUAACACCUCUCUCGUCGACAUGACAGUAGCACGUCUCUCGUCGACACGGCAGUAACACCUCUCUCGUCGACACGACAGUAGCACGUCUCUCGUCGACACGGCAGUAACACCUCUCUCGUCCACACGACAGUAGCACGUCUCUCGUCGACACGAUAGUAACACCUCUCUCGUCGACACGAUAGUAACACCUCUCUCGUCGACACGAUAGUAACACCUCUCUCGUCGACACGGUAGUAGCACCUUCCUACACGACAGUAACACGUCUCAUGUCGACACGACAGUAACACGUCUCAUGUCGACACCACAGUAACACGUCUCUCGUCGACACGGCAGUAACAUGUCCAUAGCAACAGUAAAAUAUGUAGUGAAUGGUAGUUUGGUAAAAUAUGUAGUGACAGAUGACAUAUGGGCAUUAGUUGUCCUAAUUUGUUAAUUUUUGUCCUAAAAUAUAUAAGAUAAUGUAUAAAUGAUGUAUUUGUAAACUGAAAUUUGGUCAAUAACUAAUAUGUAGUUUACUAUCCGCGUAAUAAGUCUUGAUAAUAUACUCUAAAAACCGUAAGUUUUCCUCCAACUAGAGAUCCCAAGAAGAUAGAGAGAAAAGGUCGAAGACGUCUUCCCUAAUUUAAGAAGACGUCUUUGGCUCAAAAUCUCUUGAUCUCCCUAGAAGUAGCCGGGGGAUUUGUUAUUGUUGUUGAAAUUGCUUAGUCUAACUGUACGUGUUCGCACGAAAGCUUUUGCCUAAUAUCACGAAGCAAAACAGAAGCGCUAACAGAGCUCUAAGGUUAAUGGACUUCCAAUAUUUUUAUUUUUUAUUUUUAUUCAGACGGAACUUCACCUCUGUCAAUUAACUACUACAAAUAUCUCAGA
rnacentral:lncRNA from 1 species